GACGAACGCUGGCGGCGUGCCUAAUACAUGCAAGUCGAGCGGACUGAAUGGGAGCUUGCUCUUGUUCGGUCAGCGGCGGACGGGUGAGUAACACGUGGGCAACCUGCCCGCAAGACCGGGAUAACUCCGGGAAACCGGAGCUAAUACCGGAUAACACCGAAGACCGCAUGGUCUUUGGUUGAAAGGCGGCGCAAGCUGCCACUUGCGGAUGGGCCCGCGGCGCAUUAGCUAGUUGGUGAGGUAACGGCUCACCAAGGCGACGAUGCGUAGCCGGCCUGAGAGGGGGGCCGGCCACACUGGGACUGAGACACGGACCAGAGUCCUACGGGAGGCAGCAGUAGGGAAUCUUCCGCAAUGGGCGAAAGCCUGACGGAGCGGGGCCGCGUGAGCGAAGAAGGCCUUCGGGUCGUAAAGCUCUGUUGUGAGGGACGAAGGAGCGCCGUUUGAAGAAGGCGGCGCGGUGACGGUACCUCACGAGGAAGCCCCGGCUAACUACGUG
rnacentral:rRNA from 1 species